UCAGAUAUGGUGUAAUGGCAGCACACCCAUCCAUCGUUCCGAAGUGCAACAAAAGUCAAUGGGAUGCCGGAGUUCGAUUCUUCGUGUCUGAU